rfam:Canis lupus familiaris chromosome 3, whole genome shotgun sequence.
CGGGGGAGGCCGGAUCCUGGGCUGUGUCCCGGCGCCCUGUGCUCCAGGGCCUGCGCUGUUGGAUUCGCGCUCCUAGCCGCCCGGGAGCGGCCGCCG